rnacentral:rRNA from 1 species
GACAUAGGUGGCGACCGUUAUCCGGAAUUAUUGGGCGUAAAGGGUGCGUAGAUGGUUUGAUAAGUUAACGGUGGGAAAUCGAGGCUCAACCUCGUGGAAGCUGGUAAUACUGUCAGGACUAGAGUGCAGGAGAGGUUAACGGAACUCCAUGUGUAACGGUAAAAUGUGUAGAUAUAUGGAAGAACACCAAUAACGGCGAAGGCAGUUAACUAUUCUGUUACUGACAUUGAGAUGGCACGAAAGCGUGGGGAGCAAAACGG